rnacentral:rRNA from 1 species
AUGGAUGCGCUCGUCUCGGCGGCGGUGGAGGAGGUCUGCGCCCGCCUCUCCCUGGGCCUCCCGGUGGCCGACCUCUGGGCCGCGCUCUCCGGCGCGUUCCGGGCGGCCGGCCUCCCGCCCGGCCUGCCCGUCAGGCGCGUCCUCUUCGCCCGCCUCGUCGCGCUCCCCGUCAUCAGCCUCAUGGAGGGCGAGGAGGGGGCGCUCGUCCCCUCCCCGGAGAAGGACGUGGAGGCGGCCGAGCGGCGCGGCGCCCGGCUGGUCGCCAGCCCGGCUUUGGGGGACAACUUCCUCGGGAUCUACGACCACCGGUGCUCCAGUUCCAAGCUCAGCGACAACCAGAGGAAGACGCUGGAGCAUGUCGCAGCAAGCAGGACUUCUGGUGUCGCACAAAGGACUCUGUCGAAGAGGUUCCACAUAGAACCAAACAAGUUCUACUUCGUUGUCAAGACCCUUCAGUCGCAGGGGUUAAUUGCUGGAAAACAAGCGAUCGUAAAGUCUAAUGGCAUUGGGGGUGAGAGCGAAGAUGAUUCAGGGAAAAGUCUUGUCGGCAGUACCAACUUACUGUAUCUCUCAAGAUAUGCCAAAGGAUUGAAUAUGAACUCGCAUCAAAGAACAGAGAUUACAAACGUAGACGCUUUACAAGAAGAUGAGACCCUCGGUGUAGACCACAAGAGCCAUGUUUCUAUUCACGAUCAUCUUCCAGCCAUUAAGAUAUGUGACAAACUUGAAGAAGCCAGUGGAAAGGUUCUUGCUAUUUCAGAUAUAAAAAAGGAUCUUGGUUACAGCAAGCCACGUGGGCACAGGGCAUGGAGAAAUGUACUGUGUAGGCUUUUAGAUGCACAGCUUGUUGAAAAAAUCAGUGCCAAAGUUGACGAUAAGGUGAUGUUUGACCUUGCCCCUUUGUUCUCUGAUCAUUUGGUGGUUGUUGGCUGCUUGCGCCUUCUGAAGAAAUUUAGUCCAGAUGAGUUUAAGCCAAAAAGUACAGCCUUAAACUACAAACUUGGCAUGAAAUGCCUUGCAACGGAUCAACUUAUGGAGCUUCCAUUAGACAACUGCAUAUACGAUAUGAUCCAUGCCCAAGGGCCAAAAGGUGCAACUCUUGUUGAGCUUGGCAGACGUCUUGGGGGCAAGCACAGCAAUCCAAAAGAGCUUGGUAGACGAGUGUCUUCAAUGGUUAAAAAAUUCAAUUUGGCUUCGCAGGGUGAAGUCAUAGAUAAAACAACACAAUACCGAUUUUGGACUUCAGAAAACUUCUCACUGCACAAAGCAAAUGCUGCUUUGCAGAAUUGUGAUGCGCUAGAUGAUCAUGAUCAUCGCCCCGAUUUGUGGCUUUCUAUUCCAUCUAAAGAAUCAGAUUCUCUUAGCCCACAGGGUGAUUCAUUUGUUGAUGACAAACUCUUGUUUGAAGAAGAUUGUUGUGAAAAAGCAGUCGUACUUGUACAUCAUCUCCCGAAUAACCAUGAAGCUUCUGUUGGAGUUUCUCAAGUUGAACAAGAGCUUGUGGUAUUUGUGCUGCCUGAAACUUGA